GAGGUCCAGAGAAUAUAAGGAAGGUGAGACCAGGGACAAGUCCACUGUGAGCUCAGAAGUGAGAGAGCCUUGUGUUAUUCUUAAUCUUUUCCCCAGCUCACAAGAUGUGAUCAUGGAGUCCAGAGAGUUUAAGAAACCAGGGUCUUAUUAAAUUGCUGAAGCUGGCCUUGGGCUUGAGA